rnacentral:rRNA from 1 species
UGGGGAAUAUUGCACAAUGGGGGAAACCCUGAUGCAGCGACGCCGCGUGAGCGAAGAAGUAUUUCGAUAUGUAAAGCUCUAUCAGCAGGGAAGAUGAUGACGGUACCUGACUAAGAAGCCCCGGCUAACUACGUGCCAGCAGCCGCGGUAAUACGUAGGGGGCGAGCGUUGUUCGGAAUCAUUGGGCGUAAAGGGUGCGCAGGUGGCCGAUCAAGUCUGGCGUGAAAGUGCGGGGCUCAACUCCGUGAUGCGCUGGAAACUGGCCGGCUAGAGUACAGCAGGGGGCGUCGGAAUUCCAGGUGUAGGGGUGAAAUCUGUAGAUAUCUGGAAGAACACCGGUGGCGAAGGCGGACGCCUGGGCAUGUACUGACACUGAGGCACGAAGGUGCGGGG